rnacentral:rRNA from 1 species
UGCGUAGGCGGGGCAAUUAGUCAGUGGUGAAAUCCUGCGGCUUAACCGUAGAAUUGCCAUUGAUACUGUUGCCCUUGAGUAUAGUUGAAGUGGGCGGAAUAUGUAAUGUAGCGGUGAAAUGCAUAGAGAUUACAUAGAACACCAAUUGCGAAGGCAGCUCACUAAGCUAUUACUGACGCUGAGGCACGAAAGCGUGGGGAGCGAACAGGAUUAGAUACCCUGGUUGUCC